rnacentral:rRNA from 1 species
UACGGGGGGAGCAAGCGUUGUUCGGAUUUACUGGGCGUAAAGGGCGCGUAGGCGGCCACCGCAAGUCAAUUGUGAAAUCUCCGGGCUUAACUCGGAAAGGUCAACUGAUACUGCGGGGCUAGAGUGCGGAAGGGGCAACUGGAAUUCUCGGUGUAGCGGUGAAAUGCGUAGAUAUCGAGAGGAACACCUGCGGCGAAGGCGGGUUGCUGGGCCGACACUGACGCUGAUGCGCGAAAGCUAGGGUAGCAAACGGG